GGAUAUGUAGUAGUAAAGUGGGUGUGUUAUGUAGUAAAUCUGGUGGGUCGUGUAGUAAAAUGAGCGUAUCAUGUAGUAAAGUGGGUGUGAUAUUUAGUAAAGUGAGCGUAUCAUGCAGUGAAGUGGGUGUGAUAUUUAGGUAAUUUGGU